rnacentral:rRNA from 1 species
GAUGAACGCUGGCGGCGUGCCUAAUACAUGCAAGUCGAGCGAACAGACGAGGAGCUUGCUUCUCUGACGUUAGCGGCGGACGGGUGAGUAACACGUGGAUAACCUACCUAUAAGACUGGGAUAACUUCGGGAAACCGGAGCUAAUACCGGAUAAUAUAUUGAACCGCAUGGUUCAAUAGUGAAAGACGGUUUUGCUGUCACUUAUAGAUGGAUCCGCGCCGCAUUGGCUAGUUGGUAAGGUAACGGCUUACCAAGGCAACGAUGCGUAGCCGACCUGAGAGGGUGAUCGGCCACACUGGAACUGAGACACGGUCCAGACUCCUACGGGAGGCAGCAGUAGGGAAUCUUCCGCAAUGGGCGAAAGCCUGACGGAGCAACGCCGCGUGAGUGAUGAAGGUCUUCGGAUCGUAAAACUCUGUUAUUAGGGAAGAACAAAUGUGUAAGUAACUAUGCACGUCUUGACGGUACCUAAUCAGAAAGCCACGGCUAACUACGUG